rnacentral:rRNA from 1 species
AUGUGAACUGCAGGACACAUGAACACCGACAAGUUGAACGCAUAUUGCACAUCGUACAACAGUACGAUGUACACAUUUUUGAGUGCCUAUAUUUAUCAAUUCAACUGUGCACGCACACGCGCCCCGCGUGUGUGUGUCGUGCACGCAGCAUGGUGUUUUGCUGCCUUAGGUGGCUGGCAAAACAUUUAAGAUACUCCCGGGGGUUCGGGUGCGACGACCACACUGGUGCGCUUCGUACGGCACAUCCGCACACGGCGAGAAUACAUCCCACUGUACCAGCCUGGCUUGGACGACGAUGUAAACUCUCUGCCGGGAUGAUGCAGCCACGUACACGUACGCGUAGAAGCGGUACCGCGUCUAACCAACUCAACGAACCCACCACCACCAUGUAGGCCUCAAAUAAUGUGUGACUACCCCCUAAAUUUAAGCAU